UAAUGUAUGGGGAUCUGCCUGAUGGCGGGGGAUAACUACUGGAAACGGUAGCUAAUACCGCAUAAUGUCUGCGGACCAAAGCGGGGGACCUCCGGGCCUCGCGCCAUCAGAUGAACCCAUAUGGGAUUAGCUAGUAGGUGGGGUAAUGGCUCACCUAGGCGACGAUCCCUAGCUGGUCUGAGAGGAUGACCAGCCACACUGGAACUGAGACACGGUCCAG
rnacentral:rRNA from 1 species